rnacentral:rRNA from 1 species
UACGUAGGAUGCAAGCGUUGUCCGGAUUUACUGGGCGUAAAGCGCGCGCAGGCGGCACUCUAAGUACGCUGUGAAAUAUCCCGGCUCAACCGGGAGGGUGCAGUGUAGACUAGGGAGCUAGAGGUCGGUAGAGGGGGGUGGAAUUGCUGGUGUAGCGGUGAAAUGCGUAGAGAUCAGCAGGAACACCCGUGGCGAAGGCGGCCCCCUGGGCCGUACCUGACGCUGAGGAGCGAAGGCUAGGGGAGCGAACGGG